UACAGAGGGGGCGAGCGUUGUUCGGAAUUACUGGGCGUAAAGGGCGCGUAGGCGGCCUGCUAAGUCGAACGUGAAAUCCCUGGGCUCAACCCAGGAACUGCGUCCGAUACUGGUUGGCUUGAAUCCGGGAGAGGGACGUGGAAUUCCAGGUGUAGCGGUGAAAUGCGUAGAUAUCUGGAGGAACACCGGUGGCGAAGGCGACGUCCUGGACCGGCAUUGACGCUGAGGCGCGAAAGCCAGGGGAGCAAACGGG
rnacentral:rRNA from 1 species